UACGAAGGGGGGCUAGCGUUGUUCGGAAUUACUGGGCGUAAAGCGCACGUAGGCGGGUUCUUAAGUCAGGGGUGAAAUCCUGGAGCUCAACUCCAGAACUGCCUUUGAUACUGGGAAUCUCGAGUCCGGGAGAGGUGAGUGGAACUGCGAGUGUAGAGGUGAAAUUCGUAGAUAUUCGCAAGAACACCAGUGGCGAAGGCGGCUCACUGGCCCGGUACUGACGCUGAGGUGCGAAAGCGUGGGGAGCAAACAGGG
rnacentral:rRNA from 1 species